rnacentral:tRNA from 1 species
UACUUUGUAGCUCAUUUGGGAGAGCAACUGACUCAUAAUCAGUGGGUAGCCGGUUCGAUUCCGGCCAAAGUGA